UGGGGAAUAUUGGGGCAAUGGGGCGAAAGCCUGACCCAGCAACGCCGCGUGAAGGAAGAAGGUCUUCGGAUUGUAAACUUCUUUUAUGAGGGACGAAGGACGUGACGGUACCUCAUGAAUAAGCCACGGCUAACUACGUGCCAGCAGCCGCGGUAAUACGUAGGUGGCAAGCGUUAUCCGGAUUUACUGGGUGUAAAGGGCGCGUAGGCCGUCUUAUAAGCGUGUUGUGAAAUGUCGGGGCUCAACCUGGGCAUUGCAGCGCGAACUGUGAGACUUGAGUGCGCAGGAAGUAGGCGGAAUUCGUCGUGUAGCGGUGAAAUGCUUAGAUAUGACGAAGAACUCCGAUUGCGAAGGCAGCCUGCUGUAGCGCAACUGACGCUGA
rnacentral:rRNA from 1 species